UUUUUUAAGAAAGAGUGGAGAAGGGGGGGGGGGGGGGGAUGGGCGGCCUACACAUGCAGUCGAGCGGAACGAUGGGAGCUUGCUCCCAGGCGUCGAGCGGCGGACGGGUGAGUAAUGCAUAGGAAUCUGCCCGGUAGUGGGGGAUAACCUGGGGAAACUCAGGCUAAUACCGCAUACGUCCUACGGGAGAAAGCAGGGGAUCUUCGGACCUUGCGCUAUCGGAUGAGCCUAUGUCGGAUUAGCUUGUUGGUGAGGUAACGGCUCACCAAGGCGACGAUCCGUAGCUGGUCUGAGAGGAUGAUCAGCCACAUCGGGACUGAGACACGGCCCGAACUCCUACGGGAGGCAGCAGUGGGGAAUAUUGGACAAUGGGCGCAAGCCUGAUCCAGCCAUGCCGCGUGUGUGAAGAAGGCUUUCGGGUUGUAAAGCACUUUCAGUGAGGAAGAAGGCUUCGGGGCUAAUACCCCCGAGGAAGGACAUCACUCACAGAAGAAGCACCGGCUAACUCCGUGCCAGCAGCCGCGGUAAUACGGAGGGUGCGAGCGUUAAUCGGAAUUACUGGGCGUAAAGCGCGCGUAGGCGGCGUGAUAAGCCGGUUGUGAAAGCCCCGGGCUCAACCUGGGAACGGCAUCCGGAACUGUCAGGCUAGAGUGCAGGAGAGGAAGGUAGAAUUCCCGGUGUAGCGGUGAAAUGCGUAGAGAUCGGGAGGAAUACCAGUGGCGAAGGCGGCCUUCUGGACUGACACUGACGCUGAGGUGCGAAAGCGUGGGUAGCAAACAGGAUUAGAUACCCUGGUAGUCCACGCCGUAAACGAUGUCGACUAGCCGUUGGGGUCCUAGAGACCUUUGUGGCGCAGUUAACGCGAUAAGUCGACCGCCUGGGGAGUACGGCCGCAAGGUUAAAACUCAAAUGAAUUGACGGGGGCCCGCACAAGCGGUGGAGCAUGUGGUUUAAUUCGAUGCAACGCGAAGAACCUUUACCUACUCCUUUGACAUCGUGCGAACUUUGGUAGAGAUACCCUGGGUGCCUUUCGGGAAGCGCACAGACAGGUGCUGCAUGACUGUCGUCAGCUCGUGUUUGUGAAAUGGUGGGAUAAGUCCCGUAACGAGCGCAUCCGUGGUCCUAUUUGGCAGCGAUUCGGUCGGGGAACUCUUAGGGGAGAGAA
rnacentral:rRNA from 1 species